rnacentral:rRNA from 1 species
GACGAACGCUGGCGGCGUGCCUAAUACAUGCAAGUAGAACGCUGAAACUUGGUGCUUGCACCGAGCGGAUGAGUUGCGAACGGGUGAGUAACGCGUAGGUAACCUGCCUGGUAGCGGGGGAUAACUAUUGGAAACGAUAGCUAAUACCGCAUAACAGUAGAUAUCGCAUGAUAGCUACUUGAAAGGUGCAAAUGCACCACUACCAGAUGGACCUGCGUUGUAUUAGCUAGUUGGUGAGGUAACGGCUCACCAAGGCAACGAUACAUAGCCGACCUGAGAGGGUGAUCGGCCACACUGGGACUGAGACACGGCCCAGACUCCUACGGGAGGCAGCAGUAGGGAAUCUUCGGCAAUGGACGGAAGUCUGACCGAGCAACGCCGCGUGAGUGAAGAAGGUUUUCGGAUCGUAAAGCUCUGUUGUAAGAGAAGAACGAGUGUGAGAGUGGAAAGUUCACACUGUGACGGUAUCUUACCAGAAAGGGACGGCUAACUACGUG